rnacentral:lncRNA from 1 species
AGGGAAGAGCCAAAGAAAUAUCUAAAGUUUCAAACUUCUAUAUUAGGAGAAUUAUGGCACCGCAGAUAGAAAUAGAGACCUAAGAAGUAAAAGAUUGUUAUAUACAAUGUAAAAAAAGAAUUUAAUUUUAGAUAUAAGUUUUGAGAGGCAGCUUAAUUUGACAGAAAAGUUCAAAUUUUAUUAUUUCAAGCUGCUGUGAGACCAAGAAACCAAAGAGAAAGCUUCAACUAUUCCUUGUGAAAAUUGUCACAAGAUCUAACUGAUCCAAGACAACUGAUUGAGAUUUUACUUCAGUGCAAGUUACUGAGUCUAAGAAUUAAAUGUCAAUCAAGUUCUUUAUUCUUCAACAUUGAGCUGAAAGUUUAAGAAAUCUUAAUGGAGCUAAAUUAGAUUUUCUAAAAUGAAAAUUUAUCAACUUUAUGGACUUGGAAAUGUGAUUAGUUUAUGUUCAUAACUUAAGUAUGCCUCUGAAAAGUCAUAGCUGAGCACCUUUGCCAAGACCCAGGAGUUAAAAGUACUUGGAUUAAAGACCUCUUUUUUCCCACGCUGGGCAUGGAACCCAUAGCCUCCUACAUUCGAGGCAAGUGCUGUACCAUUGAGCUAUACCUGCGUCUUGCUUAAAAACUUUGAAUCAAAGCUUCACUGGGAAAUGAUGUUAGGAACUCAAUUCAACUAAAAUUUAUGAACUUUCCACAAUUUAUUUCAUAAUUAUUAUUGUUGUUUGCUUAUGAGACAGUGUCUCACUGUAGUCCAGGCUGGUCUUGAACUUGUCAUCCUCCCGCAUCAGUCUCCUAAGUCCUGGGAGAAUGAAGAUGAGCUACCACACCAGGCACCAACUGAUUUUCUGAAACAUGAUGGCUUACAAAAUACAGGCAAUCAAAAAGAUAAAAUAAACUGUCAAAGGGAAAAAGGAGUAAGAAAAUUAAAGCCAAGGAUAAGAUUAUCAUAGAGCAAUACAAUCCAUUUGCUAAAUAAAUUUAGCUCUACAUUUCCUAGUGGCCAGAGCAGAAAGGGAAAUGCUUCAGUGCUGUACUUCAGAUCGGAAGAGUCCCUCAGAGGCCCAGAUGUGAAAGGUCCUUAGGUUGGUACUGUGGGAGGUGGCGAGACUUUAAGAAGUGCGGCCCAGUGGGAGAUCUUCUGGUCACUGGUGACGUGACUUUGAAAGCAAUACUGG